rnacentral:rRNA from 1 species
UGGGGAAUAUUGCACAAUGGGCGCAAGCCUGAUGCAGCCAUGCCGCGUGUGUGAAGAAGGCCUUCGGGUUGUAAAGCACUUUCAGCGAGGAGGAAGGUGGUGAACUUAAUACGUUCAUCAAUUGACGUUACUCGCAGAAGAAGCACCGGCUAACUCCGUGCCAGCAGCCGCGGUAAUACGGAGGGUGCAAGCGUUAAUCGGAAUUACUGGGCGUAAAGCGCACGCAGGCGGUUUGUUAAGUCAGAUGUGAAAUCCCCGGGCUCAACCUGGGAACUGCAUUUGAAACUGGCAAGCUAGAGUCUCGUAGAGGGGGGUAGAAUUCCAGGUGUAGCGGUGAAAUGCGUAGAGAUCUGGAGGAAUACCGGUGGCGAAGGCGGCCCCCUGGACGAAGACUGACGCUCAGGUGCGAAAGCGUGGGGAGCAAACAGGAUUAGAUACCCCUGGUAGUCCACGCUGUAAAACGAUGUCGAUUUUGGAGGUUGUGCCCUUGAGGCGUGGCUUCCGGAGCUAACGCGUUAAAUCGACCGCCUGGGG